UGGAAUUAAAAUAUAAACUGACUUACAGAAUAUAACCGAAACAGGAAUUUGAGUACUCAGGAACAAUAAAACUUGGAUCUAAAAAUUAUCACUAUUUCUCUUAAACUCUAAAAAAUUCUGUGUUUCUAAAUAAGAAGAAGUCACAUGUAUUUAUAGCUGUGAAAAAUAACAGACUUUCCUAUUUUUACUAUCACGUAUCAACCCCUUUUUUUUCGGAACGUGGCCAAUAUGAUCGGAACUGAUUAGAUGACUUGAUCUGGCACCAGUAUUCACAUGUUCCUAAAAUUAAGGUGUGGCGGUUGCCACAAGUGUCAUGGCCAUCACAUAGGAGUGGAUAGGAACAAAUAUAAAACACCCUUUAAUUAAGGGUGUGGCGGUUGCCACAAGUCAUGGCAGGUGCCAUGCAAAUCCUUCACGUGCUAAAUCAUGGCUGCCACACAUAGAAUCUUCAUACUUGAACACAAUUCAAUUCCUCAUGUUUUCUAUAAUUUAGCUGAUAUAAUUCAUGUGCUGUCCAUCAUAAAAUGUGGCGGUUGCCACACAAGUCAUGGCAGGCGCCAUGCACUUUUAUAAUUUAUAAAAUAGUUUAGCAAAAUAUUCCAUGCACUUGUUGGAUUGGGCUUUUGCUCGUCCUUCUAGCAUUUUGGUCCCAUAAAAUUCAUAUUUUGCUAAAUUUCGGCUGCAUCUGUAUUUUUUUAAAAAGUAAUAAUUAUUUUAUUAAUACUAUGAUAAUUCAAAGAAAAUAUUAAAAUACUUAGACAAAUAAUAUUAAAUAAAUAGUGUAUUUUUCGGUGUUAUCA
rnacentral:lncRNA from 1 species